CAAGACCCGGGGUCCUUGUGUUUGUGCAGACAUCAGCUGAUUUUGGCUUUGCCUCAGGCAGUGAGGAGCAGAGAGAGAUAAAGAGAGAAGAGAGAAAGAAACAGCCAGAGAGAAGGAGCAAAGUCAUCCACAUGGAAUUCGAAACUGGUGCAGGAUAAACACAACACGUGCAGAAACAAACUCUACCUUACAUAACAGAGAGGCUGAAUGGAGGAGGCAGCAUGGUGAGCACUUGUCAGAGUGUUAUGCAACACCAGAGAACAAAGACAAAUAAGUUGAAGUUCAAAAGAUGAAUGUUGUGGGAGAAUAAGCCAUGGACGGCCUUUCCCUUACGUCAGCCAUACAAUAGCCCGCCCGUCUGUGGAAGGGCAUCCCAGCGGACACAGCGGCUGGCAAAGGAAAUCCCUCUGCACCUGCUCACCCACACAAAGAAUAGCACAGGGUGACUAGCGGAAGUGACACAUGCAUUAACCUUUACUGUACACUCAAUCUAAUUACUGAGAAGAUUAAACAAGUCAGACAAUUAAAUUAGAAAUAAAUCAGUGAUGUUUCCAACAUUGUCACUACUUUAGUUUGAUUUCUUUAUGUAUAUAUAAGCUGAUGAUUGAAAACAUGCAGUCCAUGCUCUCAGAAAAGAACAGUGUGUGUUUAGUGGGAAGAGAUGCUUUUCCACACACUGCAUUAAUUGCACUGAAUCAGACUGGAGUGCGAUAUUACAGCAAAGAUCAUAAAACUCUUUGAAUCUAACAAGCAGCACUGUGCAUCUUUGUAGUGGUUACUGUGCUUUCCUCCUCUGCGGGAAACAAAACAAAACAAAAUCACAUGAAGGAAAAUCACAGCGCACACCUGAUACACCUGCUUUCAUUUUAGAUGGGCACUAAGGCUACCAGUUCUCUUGUGAACACGCUAUUGUAUAUACUGCCAACCCAGUACACAAUGGCAAGAGAAACUAAUCAGUGCUGUGAGCAGCUCCAUGUGGACAAGGCCUGAUCGUGCCAGAGGACAUGCUUGUCCACUCCAGGGAUGAAGUGCAUUUGUAUUAGAAUUGAGCAGUAUCCAAAAAUAACCCAUGUCUCCAGGGUCCCUUCCUGGUAGGUAAUGGAUGAGGGAUGGCACAGGACACUCAUGAUGCAAUUAACAGAAUCUGCAGGACUCAGGAA